rnacentral:misc_RNA from 1 species
AUAGUCAUCAACUGUUUCCACCUGCAAGAUAAGAAGUUUAAUGGCAUCACAUAGAAAUUUUACCUAUCUGCACCAUGAAAAGAUAACGACAAUAUUCAUGCUCUGAAGCUUAUGCAAUUUGCAUAAAACAUAACUAGCCUCAAAUACUUCAAAACCACAGAUCUGAUUACCAUGAUGCAUGUUAAUGGGUUCACUAUGGUCCAGAUUAUAUGACUGAAUAAUCACGUCUGACAUCACAACAGAUGCACUGUACAUAUGCUUGGUUGCACAAAAAUUUGUAUUAUAUAUCAUUAGAAUUAAUAGUGAUUCCCAGAGAACAUUUUUCAGUUAGUUAUCUAAUCAUGCAGUACCCUUACAUGAUAAAAU